UCUGCCUCAAACCAGGUCAAGCUAUUUGCCUACAUUUUGCAGGGUAUGGGUAGAAACCUUUCCACCUGAUACAAGAUGCCAAGCUACUGAACCCAAGAUCUUCCAACAGCACAAACAGUUUCUGUACCAGCCCAAGAAGUCCAGGUGAGGGAUUCCACCUCAAGCAGGAGAUAGAGUACAAUUUUACUGGGCAGCAACUGGUUAAUAAUUUUUACCUCCAAAUGGGCACCCAUGUAGAUUUCAGGCUUCUAACGCUAAAACAUAUUGAGCCAUCUCUGGUCCAAUAAGCAAGGAAGGUUUUGUCUGUCGUCCCUAACCUGCCUGACAAUCUUUGCAAGGAAAACGUAACUUGCUCAGACUCUCUUAAAAAUUAAGACCAAAUUGAUUUAUUAAUCUGGUUAAGAACUCUGAUACAAAGCACAGUAAAAGGCCACAGUCCAGUCAAGAAAAGGCUUCUGGUUUCUACAGUACUUGGACCAGACUCAGGUUGCCAGCUGUAGCUCAAGAACGCAGAGCUCUGCUGGGCAAAUGAAGGUCUCCCUUGUUUUUUUAAGUUUCAAAAAAGGUCCGGAUAAAGAAAUUCGGUAUUUGCUGGUUUAAACACCACAUUUCCCAAGGGGGACCUCAUAAUGAAACGAAAGCGAAAACCUAACUGAAGUUGCUUUGAGUCUGGAAGGCAAAAACUUUUUUCCUGGUAUGCAGGAAAAUGCUUACGAUAGUGUACUGGAGUAACAGACUGCAGAAUAGGCCUCAGAUCACAGAAAUGUAUACAGGUUAUCAAUCUGUAAAUAUACACUAUAAACAACUGUACAUAAUAUGGCGUAAUAGCUUUGUUCGCCGAAACAGCAGGCAACUUUUUUAGCUUAAGACAUCUCCACUUGCCUGAACAAAUAAAGGCACGACCUGACACAUGCUAAAUACUAUCUGCUAAACUGGAUGAGGCCGCCCUGCUCUGCUCAUGGUUAAGCAGAACAUUUGUAGUGCAUGUUCUACUCUUCUUCAGUUACCUAUCCCUUCUAAGUCUUCAGCAGCAAAAUCCAUGGGAAAUAAGACAUGUUAUCCACUAAUGCUUGAGAACAGUAGUAAUGGUCAUUCACAAACCUCUUAGAAUUUAUAUUUAUAGAUAUUUUCUGAAAGGCAGGUAGCUGAAGAGCUGUUGCUUUUUAAA